rnacentral:rRNA from 1 species
AUUUAACGCUGGCGGCAGGCCUAACACAUGCAAGUCGAACGAGUGGCGGACGGGUGAGUAAUGUGUGGGAAUCUAGCUUAUAGCGGGGGCUAACUCCGGGAAACUGUAGCUAAUACCGCUUACCCUAGGAUGAGCCCAAGGGGGAUUAGGUAGUUGGUGAGGUAAAGGCUCACCAAGCCGACGAUCCAGAGCUGGUCUGAGAGGAUGACCAGCCACACUGGGACUGAGACACGGCACAGACUCCUACGGGAGGCAGCAGUGGGGAAUAUUGCGCAAUGGGGGAAACCUGACGCAGCCAUGCCGCGUGAAUGAAGAAGGCCUUCGGGUUGUAAAGUGCUUUCGGUAGCGAGGCGUUACCUACAGAAGAAGCACCGGCUAACUCCGUGCCAGCAGCCGCGGUAAUAC